AUUGAACGCUGGCGGCAUGCUUUACACAUGCAAGUCGAACGGCAGCACGGGCUUCGGCCUGGUGGCGAGUGGCGAACGGGUGAGUAAUAUAUCGGAACGUACCCAGAAGUGGGGGAUAACGUAGCGAAAGUUACGCUAAUACCGCAUACGAUCUAUGUAUGAAAGCAGGGGACCGCAAGGCCUUGUGCUCCUGGAGCGGCCGAUAUCUGAUUAGCUAGUUGGUGAGGUAAAGGCUCACCAAGGCGACGAUCAGUAGCUGGUCUGAGAGGACGACCAGCCACACUGGAACUGAGACACGGUCCAGACUCCUACGGGAGGCAGCAGUGGGGAAUUUUGGACAAUGGGCGCAAGCCUGAUCCAGCAAUGCCGCGUGAGUGAAGAAGGCCUUCGGGUUGUAAAGCUCUUUUGUCAGGGAAGAAACGGUAGAGGCUAAUAUCCUUUGCUAAUGACGGUACCUGAAGAAUAAGCACCGGCUAACUACGUG
rnacentral:rRNA from 1 species